rnacentral:rRNA from 1 species
AGAGUUUGAUCCUGGCUCAGGACGAACGCUGGCGGCGUGCUUAACACAUGCAAGUCGAACGGAAAGGCCCUUCGGGGUACACGAGUGGCGAACGGGUGAGUAACACGUGGGUGAUCUGCCCUGCACUUUGGGAUAAGCCUGGGAAACUGGGUCUAAUACCGAAUAUGACCAUGCACUUCCUGGUGUGUGGUGGAAAGCUUUUGCGGUGUGGGAUGGGCCCGCGGCCUAUCAGCUUGUUGGUGGGGUAAUGGCCUACCAAGGCGACGACGGGUAGCCGGCCUGAGAGGGUGACCGGCCACACUGGGACUGAGAUACGGCCCAGACUCCUACGGGAGGCAGCAGUGGGGAAUAUUGCACAAUGGGCGCAAGCCUGAUGCAGCGACGCCGCGUGAGGGAUGACGGCCUUCGGGUUGUAAACCUCUUUCAGCACAGACGAAGCGCAAGUGACGGUAUGUGCAGAAGAAGGACCGGCCAACUACGUGCCAGCAGCCGCGGUAAUACGUAGGGUCCGAGCGUUGUCCGGAAUUACUGGGCGUAAAGAGCUCGUAGGUGGUUUGUCGCGUUGUUCGUGAAAACUCACAGCUUAACUGUGGGCGUGCGGGCGAUACGGGCAGACUUGAGUACUGCAGGGGAGACUGGAAUUCCUGGUGUAGCGGUGGAAUGCGCAGAUAUCAGGAGGAACACCGGUGGCGAAGGCGGGUCUCUGGGCAGUAACUGACGCUGAGGAGCGAAAGCGUGGGGAGCGAACAGGAUUAGAUACCCUGGUAGUCC